GGGCCCGUCGGCUAGCCAGGAUAGGCCCCCAGCCUCCGGAGCUGGUGUCGCGUGGGUUCGAAUCCCACCGGGCCCG
rnacentral:tRNA from 1 species